rnacentral:tRNA from 1 species
GGUGGCUCAGUGGUAGAGCACUUGCCUCACAUGCAUGAGGACCUGGGUUCGAUUCCUCAGCACCA